CUGGGAGGGACUGGGAGGGACUGGGAAUGAACUGGGGGGGACAGAUCAACCAGUACCUGGGCGUGCUGGCCUCCCACGGGUAACUGGGAUGGACUGGGAAUGGACUGGGAUGGACUGGGAGGGACUGGGAGGGACUGGGAAUGAACUGGGGGGGACAGAUCAACCAGUACCUGAGCGUGCUGGCCUCCCACGGGUAACUGGGAGGGACUGGGAUGGGACUGGGAGGGACUGGGAAUGAACUGGGAUGGACUGGGAGGGACUGGGAAUGAACUGGGGGGGACAGAUCAACCAGUACCUGAGCAUACUGGCCUCCCACAGGUAACUGGGAUGGACUGGGAUGGGACUGGGAGGGCACUGGGAGGGACUGGGAGCACUGGGAGGGCUCGGUGCUGACCACCCCCCCGCUUCCCCACUCCCGGGAAUUUGGGAUAACUCUGGGGUCACUCUGGGAUCCCCCCAGGACCCCCCGAGCCGCCCCCCGGCCGCCCCCCGGCCGCGAGGUGCCCCCGGAGGAGCCCCCGGCACCGGGACCCUCGGGAGUCGCCGGAGCCGCUGAGCCGGCCCCCGCCGAGGAUGAGGAGGACGCGGCCGAAGGCUCCGAGCCCCGGGAGGGCCCCGAGCCCCCAGAGGGCCCCAACACGGCCGAGCUGCGCCGGCGGCGGCUGCAGAGGCUGGGGACCCCCCCCCACUGACUGGGACCCCCCAAAUUGACCGGGACCCCCCACCACUGACCAGGACCUCUCCCCAAAACUGACCAGGACCCCCCAGAUCAACCCAAGUUCGCCCCCAGAUGGACCCGAGAUCCCUCUGGGACCCCCCCCCCAGAGUGACCCAAAAUCGCCCUGGGACCCCCCCAGACUGAACAGGACCCCCCAAAACUGACCCAAGAUACCCCCGGGACUCCCCCAAACUGACUGGGACCCCCCAGACCAACACCACAUCUACCCCAGGACCCCCCAGACCGACCCAAAAUCCCCUCAGGACCCCCCAAAAUGACCCAAGAUCUCCCCCCGGGACCCCCCCAAACUGACCAGAACCCCCCCAGACUCGAGUUCCCCCCAGACUGACCCAAAAUCCCCCCAGGACCCCCCAGAUUGACCUGAAAUUCCCCCGGGAACCCCCCAGGACCCUGCAGACCAACCUGAGAUCCCCCCCAGGACCCUCCCUCACCUCCAGGAC
rnacentral:lncRNA from 1 species